rnacentral:tRNA from 1 species
GGAACUGUACUUUAUAUAGAAGAUUUGGUUUGCAACUAAAAAGAGGAAAAUUUCCCGGUACCA